GAUCUGGCCUCAUGAACAGCAAAUGAGAUGAUGCCAGUUAAGCGAAGCCAACACAACUUGGGCUCAAGCAGCCAAAGGCCAAAUUGGAGGCUCUAGAUCCUUCCAGCUUCAGGUCGGGCAGGACUGUUCCUGGGAACUAGAAGGAGACCCACUGCAGGUAAAUCAGGUGGUAGCAGCUAUGUGUGGCCUGGAGGUCAAGUCCAGACCGCAGAUUCAGAAGCAGAGGUAAAACUGAAAUGUCACCGGGAAUGUGUUACGUGCCAGGCACUAUGCAAAGCCAGAGGGGAGAACGCAAAGACAUAAGACGUGGUCUUUCCUGGGGAGGUUCCCCAUCUAAUAGGAGAGAGACACAAGUGGAUGGAUGGCCCAGAUGCAGGAUAGUUAGAGGUCCACUCAAGGUCAAGUUCUAUGCUGUGAGACUCCACAGAAACAGUUCCAUCUCCCCCGUGGAGUCUGAACUAGAUUCACUAAAAGGCCAGUUUCAAAGGCCAUCCGAGACCCAGAUGGCGCUUGAACAAAAAUGGUCAGCGGUAACUCAUCAACCUGGAUUCCCGAGGAAGAAGAGUGCCAGCAAGGCCACCAUCUCAGAACUGGCAAACUGCAAGACUGUCCUCUGGUCUAACCACCACCCCUCUUCCGCGUUCCUGCCACACGGGUGCACCCCUACCUACCGGGACAGGAAUCCCACUACGUUCUUUUCCUCUUACUAAAAGGAUAAACUUUAAACUCUUUUGCUUUUUCCGUGUGCUUCGAGAUGAUGUUUGAAAUACAUACAAACCCUUCCCUUCAUCAAAUUUCGCUGAAAUAAUAGAAAGGCACAUAAAAAGAAUAUAUUCAUAUCUGCCCAAGAAAACGAGAAAACAUGGCUCCAGGAGAACAGAGAAAUUUGAAGACUUUCUAGAAGACAAAAAGCAGAUAGAAUCCAAUUUAUGGAGAAAACCAGAGUGGUUAAAUCAGCAUGGAGAAAUUGACUAAGGAGAUGUAAGCUGUUCUCUCCAACAGAAUCUUGGGGAGACUCCCAGUUUAGGGAGCAGGGAGCAGGCCAUGGUGUAGACAUCAGGCAAAGAACUAUUGAAUAAACAGGCAGCAGUC